AAAAUACGAAAAAAAACAAUUAUAUUCAACAUUGAGGGGUUUCACGUGAUCGAUUUUGCGAAUACAAUAAAUACCCGUUUUCCACCUAUCGAAAUAUAAACAUUCCUGAAGGCACAACGAGACGCUAUUGGCAACGAAAUGUUUAUGACGAAAAUGAUUAUUUUAUUAACUAUUUUCUUAUUGGUUGGUCUCAAUGCUAAUGUAGACGCUGCUUGUCCAGGUGAGGCAACUUGUUGGUGUCACCCCGUGCAGGGUACCAAGUGCAAUGAUGGCUUAGCAUGUGAUAAUGGAUCUUUAUUCCAAGGACACUGCGUGGGUAGUUUUCCAGAUGUUGAAGAAGUACUUAUAAGUCUUGGAGGAUAAUUAUGAUCCGCCAAGAAAUAGAUUCUAUCUGUCAAAAAAUGCGCCAAUUAUGCAUGCAUCGUAGUGAAAAUUUUUUAAAUAAAUAUUGUUACCAUGUAUCUAAGCAGCAUAUCAAAAUAAACUAUUUUCGUUCAAUUUAAAUCAAUAAUAAA